CGGAGGAAAAGAAACUAACAAGGAUUCCCCUAGUAACGGCGAGUGAAGCGGGAUGAGCUCAAAUUUGUAAUCUGGUGGACUCAGUUCAUCCGAGUUGUAAUCUAUAGAAAAGUUUUCCGCGUCGGACCGUGUCUAAGUCCCUUGGAACAGGGUGUCAGAGAGGGUGAGAAUCCCGUGCUUGAUACGACCACCGAUGCUAUGUGAUACUUUUUCAACGAGUCGAGUUGUUUGGGAAUGCAGCUCAAAAUGGGUGGUAAAUUCCAUCUAAAGCUAAAUAUUGGCGAGAGACCGAUAGCGAACAAGUACCGUGAGGGAAAGAUGAAAAGCACUUUGGAAAGAGAGUUAAACAGUACGUGAAAUUGUUAAAAGGGAAACGAUUGAAGUCAGUCGUGCUCUCUGAGAUUCAGCCAGUUAUUCUGGUGUAUUUCUCAGUGAGCGGGUCAACAUCAGUUUAGAUCGCUGGAUAAGGUCAUUAGGAAUGUGGCUCCCUCGGGAGUGUUAUAGCCUAGUGUCGCAUACAGUGGUUUAGACUGAGGAACGCAGCUCGCCUUUAUGGCCGGGGUUCGCCCACGUCCGAGCUUAGGAUGUUGACAUAAUGGCUUUAAACGACCCGUCU
rnacentral:rRNA from 1 species